CUAAAAUCGACUCCAUAAAUUUAUUCUCACGACUAAUUCUCGUGACUGUUGAUUGUUGGUUUUUUGCGCUCGCCCAAUGUUGGAUGUGUAAUAUGUGAUUGUUGUCUACUCCAACCUCCGUCACUGUCUUGCUGGAGAACUGCCGCCUUGCUAGAGAAUUGCCGCCACUCCCUUGCUAGAGAGUCACCUCCGCGAACCGCUGCCACUGCCUUGCUCGACAAUCGCCGCCGUUGCUUGCUCGAGCACAUUUCUAGAAAGGAAUUUCUCAGGAAUCCAGACAAGUAUAUAAAGCUUGGUGCACGACCUCCUAAAGGUGUUAUCUUGGUAAGUUGUCUUCUACUCUAUAGCAAGUAGAAACAACUAACAAACAUGAAUGAAAACUGAGAUUGGAUGCUAUGUCAUGUUCAAUAUUUACUGGAGAUAUCUUUUGUUGACCAAUUUAACAUGUGAGGAGUGACUGCAAAGUCUUAUAUUUCUAAGGGCUUUUAUGCAAUUUCAGUAAGGGGCUAGAUUGAAAAUUAGGGUAUAAUAGAACUUAUUCUAUUAUUACUAUUCCAUUGGAGCUGCGUGGAGUGGCAGAUCAGCUUUCAUCCAUUGAUCUUGUUCAUGAUAUGGCGGUUGUAAUUAGUUCUAAAGAUAGGUAUUUAGGCUUGAAUCUGGUAUCAGUUACUUGAUGAAAAAUCGAGAGAAAAAGUGUUUAGCGAGAGAGAAAAGAAACUGAGAGAGAAUGAGAGAUGAGAGCUUAUUUUUGCUUCAUUUUCUGAUCUGGUUUUUCUCAUCGUGUAAACUUGGUGUAGCUCUGAUUUUGAUCCUUGAAUAAUAUAGAAUCUGUUCACCCUCCAUGGAUGUAUGCACAUUCUCGAACUACGUAAAUAGCGUCUGCUUCAUUCA